rnacentral:rRNA from 1 species
GUCUGUGGCCACGCCGCCCUGAACAAGCCCCGUCCCGGCUGAUCUUGGAAGCUAAGCAGGGUCGGGCCUAGUUAGUACUUGGAUGGGAGACCACUUAGGAAGACCAGGUGCUGUAAAUG